UUUGGUUAAGUUAGAAAGGGCGCACGGUGGAUGCCUUGACACUAGGAGUCGAUGAAGGACGGGACUAACGCCGAUAUGCUUCGGGGAGCUGUAAGUAAGCUUUGAUCCGAAGAUUUCCGAAUGGGGAAACCCACUAUACGUAAUGGUAUGGUAUCCUUACCUGAAUACAUAGGGUAUGGAAGACAGACCCAGGGAACUGAAACAUCUAAGUACCUGGAGGAAGAGAAAGCAAAUGCGAUUUCCUGAGUAGCGGCGAGCGAAACGGAACAUAGCAUAGGGUAUGGAAGACAGACCCAGGGAACUGAAACAUCUAAGUACCUGGAGGAAGAGAAAGCAAAUGCGAUUUCCUGAGUAGCGGCGAGCGAAACGGAACAUAGCCCAAACCAAGAGGCUUGCCUCUUGGGGUUGUAGGACAUUCUAUACGGAGUUACAAAGGAAYGAGGUAGACGAAGMGACCUGGAAAGGUCCGUCGUAGAGGGUAACAACCCCGUAGUCGAAACUUCGUUCUCUCUUGAAUGUAUCCUGAGUACGGCGGAACACGUGAAAUUCCGUCGGAAUCUGGGAGGACCAUCUCCCAAGGCUAAAUACUCCCUAGUGAUCGAUAGUGAACCAGUACCGUGAGGGAAAGGUGAAAAGCACCCCGGAAGGGGAGUGAAAGAGAUCCUGAAACCGUGUGCCUACAAAUAGUCAGAGCCCGUUAAUGGGUGAUGGCGUGCCUUUUGUAGAAUGAACCGGCGAGUUACGAUCCCGUGCRAGGUUAAGCUGAAGAGGCGGAGCCGCAGCGAAAGCGAGUCUGAAUAGGGCGUUUAGUACGUGGUCGUAGACCCGAAACCAGGUGAUCUACCCAUGUCCAGGGUGAAGUUCAGGUAACACUGAAUGGAGGCCCGAACCCACGCACGUUGAAAAGUGCGGGGAUGAGGUGUGGGUAGCGGAGAAAUUCCAAUCGAACCUGGAGAUAGCUGGUUCUCCCCGAAAUAGCUUUAGGGCUAGCCUUAAGUGUAAGAGUCUUGGAGGUAGAGCACUGAUUGAACUAGGGGUCCUCAUCGGAUUACCGAAUUCAGUCAAACUCCGAAUGCCAAUGACUUAUCCUUAGGAGUCAGACUGCGAGUGAUAAGAUCCGUAGUCAAGAGGGAAACAGCCCAGAUCGCCAGCUAAGGUCCCAAAGUGUGUAUUAAGUGGAAAAGGAUGUGGAGUUGCUUAGACAACUAGGAUGUUGGCUUAGAAGCAGCCACCAUUUAAAGAGUGCGUAAUAGCUCACUAGUCGAGUGACUCUGCGCCGAAAAUGUACCGGGGCUAAAUACACCACCGAAGCUGCGAAUUGAUACCAAUGGUAUCAGUGGUAGGGGAGCGUUCUAAGUGCAGUGAAGUCAGACCGGAAGGACUGGUGGAGCGCUUAGAAGUGAGAAUGCCGGUAUGAGUAGCGAAAGACGGGUGAGAAUCCCGUCCACCGAAUGCCUAAGGUUUCCUGAGGAAGGCUCGUCCGCUCAGGGUUAGUCAGGACCUAAGCCGAGGCCGACAGGCGUAGGCGAUGGACAACAGGUUGAUAUUCCUGUACCACCUCUUUAUCGUUUGAGCAAUGGAGGGACGCAGAAGGAUAGAAGAAGCGUGCGAUUGGUUGUGCACGUCCAAGCAGUUAGGCUGAUAAGUAGGCAAAUCCGCUUAUCGURAAGGCUGAGCUGUGAUGGGGAAGCUCCUUAUGGAGCGAAGUCUUUGAUUCCCCGCUGCCAAGAAAAGCUUCUAGCGAGAUAAAAGGUGCCUGUACCGCAAACCGACACAGGUAGGCGAGGAGAGAAUCCUAAGGUGUGCGAGAGAACUCUGGUUAAGGAACUCGGCAAAAUGACCCCGUAACUUCGGGAGAAGGGGUGCUUUCUUAACGGAAAGCCGCAGUGAAUAGGCCCAAGCGACUGUUUAGCAAAAACACAGCUCUCUGCGAAGCCGUAAGGCGAAGUAUAGGGGGUGACACCUGCCCGGUGCUGGAAGGUUAAGGAGAGGGGUUAGCGUAAGCGAAGCUCUGAACUGAAGCCCCAGUAAACGGCGGCCGUAACUAUAACGGUCCUAAGGUAGCGAAAUUCCUUGUCGGGUAAGUUCCGACCCGCACGAAAGGUGUAACGAUUUGGGCACUGUCUCAACCAGAGACUCGGUGAAAUUAUAGUACCUGUGAAGAUGCAGGUUACCCGCGACAGGACGGAAAGACCCCGUGGAGCUUUACUGUAGCCUGAUAUUGAAUUUUGGUACAGUUUGUACAGGAUAGGCGGGAGCCAUUGAAACCGGAGCGCUAGCUUCGGUGGAGGCGCUGGUGGGAUACCGCCCUGACUGUAUUGAAAUUCUAACCUACGGGUCUUAUCGACCCGGGAGACAGUGUCAGGUGGGCAGUUUGACUGGGGCGGUCGCCUCCUAAAGUGUAACGGAGGCGCCCAAAGGUUCCCUCAGAAUGGUUGGAAAUCAUUCGUAGAGUGCAAAGGCAUAAGGGAGCUUGACUGCGAGACCUACAAGUCGAGCAGGGACGAAAGUCGGGCUUAGUGAUCCGGUGGUUCCGCAUGGAAGGGCCAUCGCUCAACGGAUAAAAGCUACCCCGGGGAUAACAGGCUUAUCUCCCCCAAGAGUCCACAUCGACGGGGAGGUUUGGCACCUCGAUGUCGGCUCAUCGCAUCCUGGGGCUGUAGUCGGUCCCAAGGGUUGGGCUGUUCGCCCAUUAAAGCGGUACGCGAGCUGGGUUCAGAACGUCGUGAGACAGUUCGGUCCCUAUCCGUCGUGGGCGUAGGAAAUUUGAGAGGAGCUGUCCUUAGUACGAGAGGACCGGGAUGGACGCACCGCUGGUGUACCAGUUGUUCUGCCAAGGGCAUAGCUGGGUAGCUAUGUGCGGAAGGGAUAAGUGCUGAAAGCAUCUAAGCAUGAAGCCCCCCUCAAGAUGAGAUUUCCCAUAGCGUAAGCUAGUAAGAUCCCUGAAAGAUGAUCAGGUUGAUAGGUUCGAGGUGGAAGCAUGGUGACAUGUGGAGCUGACGAAUACUAAUAGAUCGAGGACUUAACCAUAUAA
rnacentral:rRNA from 1 species